rnacentral:rRNA from 1 species
GACGAACGCUGGCGGCGUGCUUAACACAUGCAAGUCGAACGGAAAGGCCCUGCUUUUGUGGGGUGCUCGAGUGGCGAACGGGUGAGUAACACGUGAGUAACCUGCCCUUGACUUUGGGAUAACUUCAGGAAACUGGGGCUAAUACCGGAUAGGAGCUCCUGCUGCAUGGUGGGGGUUGGAAAGUUUCGGCGGUUGGGGAUGGACUCGCGGCUUAUCAGCUUGUUGGUGGGGUAGUGGCUUACCAAGGCUUUGACGGGUAGCCGGCCUGAGAGGGUGACCGGCCACAUUGGGACUGAGAUACGGCCCAGGCUCCUACGGGAGGCAGCAGUGGGGAAUAUUGCACAAUGGGCGGAAGCCUGAUGCAGCAACGCCGCGUGCGGGAUGACGGCCUUCGGGUUGUAAACCGCUUUCGCCUGUGACGAAGCGUGAGUGACGGUAAUUGGUAAAGAAGCACCGGCUAACUACGUG